rnacentral:misc_RNA from 1 species
GAUGAAGAACGCAGUGAAAUGCGAUACGUAAUGUGAAUUGCAGAUUUCAGUGAAUCAUCGAAUCUUUGAACGCACAUUGCGCCCGCUAGUAUUCUGGCGGGCAUGCCUGUUCGAGCGUCAUUUCAACCAUCAAGCCCUAGGCUUGCGUUGGAGCCCUGCGGCUGCCGCAGACUCCCAAAUCCAGUGGCGGGCUCGUCGUCGUACCGAGUGCAGUAAACAUCCUCGCUCAGGGAACGUGACGGGUUCUUGCCGUGAAACCCCCCACAUAUCAAGGUUGACCUCGGAUCAGGUAGGAAUACCCGCUGAACUUAAGCAUAUCAAUAAGCGGAGGA